CUAGCAAGACCUGGUGUCCUUACUGAACCACUUCCCCAGAACAACCCUGCUCUACGACCAGGACCAGGCAGCCAGGGAAGGAGACAAGAGACAUUCUUAAAUUUCCCAACCAGGAAACUGGAGGAGGGUCGGUGAUCAGGAGCAGAGGGAAAAGCGAAAGAGAGGAGGAGUUCCCAGCGGCAGUUCUGCCAGAGCUCGGGCGCGGGAGACACAAGCGGCAGACUGCCCCAGACGCCUCACGGCUGCGCGCGAAGACACCGGCGCAGACAGACGCACAGUCGGGGCUCCCCCAUCCUGGGCACAGAGGCGGCGGGUUGGGAAGCCCAGGAAACCCCAGGUUCCCGUCGGAACCCACCCAGCACCCGGUCCCAGCCCGAAGAUCCUAUCAGGAGAACCCGUUGGAACUGAGGGCUGUGUGUGUGACCUUGAACAAGUCGCUUCCUUUUUCUGAAUCUUAAUCUUCUCACCGGCAAAAAAAAAGAAGUGCAAUAGCAGGCCUUCCAGCUCGAGUUGAGCCAGCAGCAGGGGGCGCCGCCUGGACCAGCCUCAGAGGGAACUCAGUGCCAGCCACCCCCAGCCCGCACAGGCUCCUCCUGGCCUAGAUUCGAUCAAUCUUCCUUCCAGCAGAGGCUAGAGGGGAAGAAGCAUGGACACAAAAAUGUGGGGUGGAGACGUCUGCUGGGACCUGAACCCACCUCCGCUGAAGCCUCUUCCUCUCCCCAGCCGCCCAGCUCAUCCCGAAAGGAGCUCCGCCCAUAAGCCCCCUCAUGGCCCCACCCAUCUGAUUCUCACAGUCCUUGAAGGGUAAUGGAGGCAGGGCUUCUGCUGGCAUACAGAUGACAAAACUGAGGCUCAGAAAAGGGAAUUGCCUUGCUCAAGGUCACACAGCUUAUCAGUGGCAGAGCUAAGAUUCCAAACCACCAUCCCCUCCACACUCCCCCACCAUUUACUCUACCAGAUACAUUUCCACCCAGUACCCUGCGACCUCUUUCUUUACACCCUCAACAGAGCAUAGGGAAGAAACAUCAGCCUUGCAUGGCUCUGCAGAUUUGCGGGUGGGGCCAGGACAUGCCAGAGAGAGAUCAGAGAAGAUGCUAGGGGCUACACACGUAGCCCCCAACCCCACCCCAAGCACGGUGCCCACCUGCCCAGCAGGCACGGCCAGUGACUCAGCUGCAUCCGGGGGAGAUGCCAGGGCAGUGACUCACCUACCGAGAAGAGCUGAGACUGGCACCUUGCCAGCCCCAGGACAGAAGUGACUUAGUCACCGAGACUGUGAUACCCAGCAGGCACAGCCCAGGGAUUGGGGACAGGGGCAGGCAGUGCCCUCCAUGAUUAUAUGCACCCCUGGUGAAGAAUAGGCAUCCUGGGGCAAGCCAUGGCUGUACCUGCUGCCCCUGCCCACUCACUCGUGCCCAACCCCACCACGCCAGGCCCUGCUCCAGGGUAGACAAGCUUUGUGAGACCCCUGGGCUGCCCUGUCCCUCUGCAGCCUGUCCCUUGCCCAUCACUCACCACCUACUCUCCCAUCAUCAGCCCCGCCUCCUCCUGCCACCCAAGUUGUACCCAGGCUGUGAGUCUCCUUUAACAUGUCUUGGCAGCACCUCCUGCCCCCACAGCCCCUCUCACCCCCUCCACGCACACAUGCACUCAUACACACUU